rnacentral:rRNA from 1 species
UACAGAGGUCCCAAGCGUUUGUUCGGAAUUAUUGGGCGUAAAGGGUGCGUAGGCGGUUUGGUAAGUCUUAUGUGAAAUCUACAGGCUCAACUUGUAGUCUGCAUGAGAAACUGCCGGGCUUGAGUAUGGGAGAGGUGAGUGGAAUUCCUGGUGUAGCGGUGAAAUGCGUAGAUAUCAGGAGGAACACCUGUGGCGAAAGCGGCUCACUGGACCAUAACUGACGCUGAUGCACGAAAGCUAGGGGAGCAAACAGG